rnacentral:rRNA from 1 species
GUGGGGAAUAUUGGACAAUGGGGGGAACCCUGAUCCAGCCAUGCCGCGUGUGUGAAGAAGGCCUUUUGGUUGUAAAGCACUUUAAGCGAGGAGGAGGCUUACCUGGUUAAUACCUGGGAUAAGUGGACGUUACUCGCAGAAUAAGCACCGGCUAACUCUGUGCCAGCAGCCGCGGUAAUACAGAGGGUGCGAGCGUUAAUCGGAUUUACUGGGCGUAAAGCGCGCGUAGGUGGUUAAUUAAGUCAAAUGUGAAAUCCCCGAGCUUAACUUGGGAAUUGCAUUCGAUACUGGUUAGCUAGAGUAUGGGAGAGGAUGGUAGAAUUCCAGGUGUAGCGGUGAAAUGCGUAGAGAUCUGGAGGAAUACCGAUGGCGAAGGCAGCCAUCUGGCCUAAUACUGACACUGAGGUGCGAAAGCAUGGGGAGCAAACAGGAUUAGAUACCCCAGUAGUCC